AUUGAACGCUGGCGGCAUGCCUUACACAUGCAAGUCGAACGGUAACGGGCCUUCGGGUGCCGACGAGUGGCGAACGGGUGAGUAAUGCAUCGGAACGUACCUUUCAGUGGGGGAUAACGUAGCGAAAGUUACGCUAAUACCGCAUAUUCUGUGAGCAGGAAAGCAGGGGAUCGCAAGACCUUGCGCUGAUUGAGCGGCCGAUGUCAGAUUAGCUAGUUGGUGAGGUAAAGGCUCACCAAGGCGACGAUCUGUAGCGGGUCUGAGAGGAUGAUCCGCCACACUGGAACUGAGACACGGUCCAGACUCCUACAGGAGGCAGCAGUGGGGAAUUUUGGACAAUGGGGGCAACCCUGAUCCAGCCAUGCCGCGUGAGUGAAGAAGGCCUUCGGGUUGUAAAGCUCCUUCGGCCGGGAAGAAAUCGUAUGGGUUAAUACCCUGUGCGGAUGACGGUACCGGCAUAAGAAGCACCGGCUAACUACGUGCCAGCCGCCGCGGUAAGAC
rnacentral:rRNA from 1 species